GGCGCCGUGGCUUAGUUGGUUAAAGCGCCGCUCUAGUAAACAGGAGAUCACGAGUUCGAUCUCGUCGGUGCCU